CCAGAAGUGAUUUAAUACAAUGUCGUGUCGCAAUGCAUCUCAUGCCGGUAGCUGGUACACUGAGAAUGGUACUGAACUGUCUAGACAAUUAGACCUCUGGUUGUCUAAAGCUGAUCUAACACAUGGACCAGCGAGAGCUAUAAUAGCACCUCAUGCGGGUUAUUCUUACC